UAGAGAUACGAGAGUGCCUUCGGGAACCUACACACAGGUGCUGCACGGCUGUCGUCAGCUCGUGUCGUGAGAUGUUGGGUUAAGUCCCGCAACGAGCGCAACCCUUGCCCUUAGUUACCAUCAUUUAGUUGGGGACUCUAAGGGGACUGCCGGUGAUAAACCGGAGGAAGGUGGGGACGACGUCAAGUCAUCAUGGCCCUUAUGACCGGGGCUACACACGUACUACAAUGGUCGGUACAGACGGUCGCAAGCUCGCGAGAGUAAGCUAAUCCGAGAAAACCGAUCGUAGUCCGGAUCGCAGUCUGCAACUCGACUGCGUGAAGUCGGAAUCGCUAGUAAUCGCAAAUCAGAAUGUUGCGGUGAAUACGUUCCCGGGCCUU
rnacentral:rRNA from 1 species